AGAAUGGUCUCCAUCUCCUGACCUCGUGAUCCGCCAGCCUCAGCCUCCUAAAGUGCUGGGAUUACAGGCGUGAGCCACCGCGCCCGGCCGGAUUUUUUUGAAGUUUUAUUCUGUUAUCAGUGAUAUUGUCUGUCCAGUGCUGCAAUGUUUUCCAGAUUGUUUUUCUUUCCCAAGAAACAGUGUGUUUUGGGAACCACUUCAUCUCAAGGACAUGUCAAAGGAGAAACAUAUGCCACAUUAGUGACUCCUGCCUGGUGGGACAUAGACUUUAAAGGUGAAGAGCUAUGGAAAGAGGUCAAAGGUUCAUAAACUUCCUAAGUAUCUAUUAUGUAAUGCGCUUCUCACAUGGAGGCGUAGUUCUUUGUUUUUGAAUGUGUAUAUGCGGUUAUGCUGAAGAAAAUGAGAAUUCAUUUAAGGUUAUUGCUCAAUUCUAAUAACUUUCUGUUAGUUAUUUUUUUUUCCCAGUCAGUGGUUCCUAAAGGUACAUCUCUUACAUGUGCUUUUUUUAAGUAAAAAUGGAGCCCUCAUGUUUGAAAUGUUGGGACACCCCUGCCCUGAAGCGACAAAAGUGAAGAUAAAUAUGUUUCUAAAAAAGCCAUUGGUAAAUCAGGAUAGAAAAGGGGUUUGUAUGAAGACUUAAUGAACUGAAACAGGAAAAUUAGAGAACCAGUCUCAUGAGAUGGUAAAAACAAGACAGGCUGGGAAACUGACUGCUUAGUAUUUUGGUUAUCUACUACUGUGUAGCAAAUCACCUUGAUCCUUAGUGACUUUAAGUAACAACAUCUUUUGUAGUUCUCUGUGUUGACUGGGCUUAGAGAGGCUGUUCUACUCUAUGUGAUGUUGCCUGGGGCUGCACUCAUCUGAAUUAAGUGCUUGAGGGCUUCCUCACAUAUUUAGCCCUUUGGCAGGGACAGUGGGACUACCAGGUCUUUCUUGUUCUCUGUUAUCUCAGGGUCUCUCCCUCUUCAAGCGGUCUCCCUAGUAAGGUAAACAGACUUCUUCCGUAGUUGCUCAGGGUUCCCCAAAGCACAAAAGUAGAAACUUCCAGGUCUUCUCAAGGUUUAGCUCUAGAACCGGCACAGCACCACUUCCUCCACAUCCUGAUGGAAUGCACCUAAUGCAUGGCCCUGAAUCUUGUCAGUUGCUUCAUCUCACUCCAAACCCAGAAUCUCUAGGCAUUGUCCAUUUCUCUUCCAGGUCUGUCCUGAUCCUCUUUCCAUUUUCCACAGCCAGCUAGAGUAGAACAGCUGACAGGAGAAAGUCAUCAGGUGGAGUGUUCAGAAGACUUUAAACUCAG
rnacentral:lncRNA from 10 species